AAAAAAAAAAAAAAAGAAAAAAGAGAGGUGCAAAAAUAUGGAGAAUGUGGUCCUCUUUUAGUUCACAACAUAAUCUCAAAGUGACUAUUUAUAUUAUUCCUCUUUCACUAGCAAGAUAGCUAAGUAUGUUGUUCUUUAUAAAAAGCCUUCAAUCAAAGCUAUCUUCCAUUAUUUAUAUGGAGUAGUUCGCCACUCUCACUACAAAACUGACCAUUCUUAUUUUUGCAACUACAAAUUAAAUGGAAGGAUUUAACAAUGAUGAUGACCAUUUUAUGGGAGGUUCUUUACCUAACGUUGAUGUCUAUUGUCAAGCAGACAAUUGCACGUCCGACUUGACUGAUGCGAAGCGCUACCACCGCCGCCACAAGGUUUGCGAGUUCCACGCCAAGGCGCCCGUGGUCAUUGUUAACUCGAAACACCAACGAUUUUGUCAGCAAUGUAGCAAGUUCCAUGACGUAUCGGAGUUCGACGACACGAAAAGGAGCUGCCGAAGGAGGUUGGCCGGACACAACGAAAGGAGAAGGAAGAACUCCUAUGAUGUUUCUGCGGAAUCAUCGUCUGCAGACUGAGGCCACUACACAGAGAUCCAGCUAGCGAGAGAGCGGCCGCGUAGGCGGCUAGCAGAUCAUUAGGGGAUAAUUCUGAUCAUUAUAGAUAAAACCAUAGAUUAUUAGGCCUUCAAUCAAUGGUUUUAUCUCUAAUAUAGUGAUUCAUUAUCGUUCUUUUUAAUGCUCUCUAUCUUCUGUCAAACCCCAUUUCCACUGUGUUCUUUGUCCUAUCUAGCUAAUAAAGAUUCAGUGUUAUUCAGCCUUUUUUAAUUA